rnacentral:rRNA from 1 species
CCUACGGGGGGCAGCAGUGGGGAAUUUUGCGCAAUGGGCGAAAGCCUGACGCAGCAACGCCGCGUGAGUGAUGAAGGCUUUCGGGUCGUAAAGCUCUGUCGAGGGGAAAGAAGUGUAUUGUGGCUAAUAUCCACGAUACUUGACGGUACCCCUAAAGGAAGCACCGGCUAACUCCGUGCCAGCAGCCGCGGUAAUACGGGGGGUGCAAGCGUUGUUCGGAAUUAUUGGGCGUAAAGCGCGUGUAGGCGGUUUGAUUAGUCUGAUGUGAAAGCCCU